rnacentral:rRNA from 1 species
GUUGAACGCUGGCGGCAGGCCUAAUACAUGCAAGUCGAACGGUGUCUUCGGACAUAGUGGCGCACGGGUGCGUAACACGUAUGCAACCUACCUUACAUUGGGGGAUAGCCUUUCGAAAGGGAGAUUAAUACCGCAUAAGACAGUAGCUGGGCAUCCAGCAGCUGUUAAAGAUUUAUCGAUGUAAGCUGGGCAUGCGUCCAAUUAGCUAGUUGGUGAGGUAACGGCUCACCAAGGCAAUGAUUGGUAGGGGAACUGAGAGGUCAAUCCCCCACACUGGCACUGGGAUACGGGCCAGACUCCUACGGGAGGCAGCAGUAGGGAAUAUUGGGCAAUGGACGCAAGUCUGACCCAGCCAUGCCGCGUGCAGGAUGAAGGCGUUAUGCGUUGUAAACUGCUUUUAUACAGGAAGAAACGACUCUUGCGAGAGGCAUUGACGGUACUGUAUGAAUAAGCACCGGCUAACUCCGUGCCAGCCGCCGCCGUAACAC